rnacentral:lncRNA from 1 species
UUCAAUAUUGGUGGCAGCAGGUAUAUAUUUGGGCUAUGAUAUAAUUGAAUAGAUCUAGGGAAGUCCCAGAUGAUUUCUAGUGAGGACAUGUAUAUCUAGAUUAUGAUUGAAUUCUAUAUGUAUACGUAAAUAUUAGUAGACUUUGAUUGAUAUGAUUUCUAUACGUAUACGUAAAUAUUAGUAGACUUUUGGUUGAUAUUUUAAUCACUCAUCUAUAAAUUCCAACCUAUAUGUCUUUUUUUAUCAUCACAACAACCACAGCAUGGAUACUAUUGGAGCUGAUACUAAAAUAUCCAAUACCUACUUGCCUGAAAAGCCUGAACUUUCACCAACUUUGAUUUCAGACACUGAACUCCUAUCUGAAUUCUCACACCAUGUCCAAAACAUAGCUAGAAUCAAUAAUGGAAGCUUUGGUUGUUGCCCGAAGAGUGUUAUAUCAGCACAGCAGAAGUGGCAACUUGAGUUCCUCAAACAACCUGAUGACUUUUACUUCAAUCGGCUGAAAGAUGAGAUUUUGAAAUCCAGACUUGUGAUCAGAGACUUGGUCAAUGCUGACCAUGUUGAUGAAAUAUCAAUUGUUGAUAAUGCCACCACUGCUACAGCCAUUGUGUUGCAGAGUGUUGCUUGGGAAUUUUUGCAAGGGAAGUUUAACAAAGGUGAUGCUGUUGUCAUGCUUCAAUAUGCUUAUGGCGCUGUGAAAAAAUCUCUGGAAGCAUAUGUUACGCGUGCAGGUGGGUAUGUUAUUGAAGCUUGGUUUCUAUUUCCUGUUAAUUCUGAUGGUGAGAUUGUCAGUGAGUUUCGGAAAGCUUUAGAAAGAGGGAAAGCCAAUGGUAGGAAAGUCAGAUUGGCUAUGAUUGAUCAUGUGACGUCUAUUCCUAGUGUUCCGAUUCCGGUUAAAGAAUUGAUCAAGAUUUGUCGGGAAGAGGGUGUCGAUAAAGUAUUUGUUGAUGGUGCACAGGGGAUUGGGUGUGUUGAUGUUGACAUGAAAGAAAUUGGGGCUGAUUUUUACACUGGUACUUUGAACAAGUGGGUUUUUUGCCCGCCUGGGGCAGCGUUUUUGUAUUGUAGGAAAUCAAAUGAAAUUGAUGAUUUGCAUCACCCUGUGGUGUCUCAUGAGUAUGGAAAUGGGUUGGCUAUCGAGAGUGCUUGGAUUGGAACUAGGGAUUAUAGUGCCCAACUGGUGGUUCCUCAAGCUUUGGAGUUUGUUAACAGAUUUGAAGGGGGAAUUGAAGGAAUCAAGAAGAGGAAUCAUAAAGCUGUUGUUGAGAUGGGGGAGAUGUUGGCAAAAGCAUGGGGAACCCAUCUUGGGUCUCCUCCGGAGAUGUGUUCAAGCAUGAUCAUGGUUGGCUUGCCUGCUAUUUUGGGUAUUUCUAGUGAUUCCAUUGCUUUAAAGUUGAGAACCCACUUGAGGAAUAAUUUUUCUGUUGAAGUACCUAUCUAUUAUAGGGUACCGGGUGAUGGAGUGGUUAACCCAGUUACAGGAUACGCUCGAAUUUCUCAUCAUGUUUACAACAAGCCAGAUGAAUACUACAAGUUCAGAGAUGCAGUUAAUCAACUUGUUAAUGAUAAGUUCACUUGUGCACUUCUCGCAUGGUAAAGAGGUAUGUUUUAGAUUCACUGAUUGUAACAUUCUGUUAGCUAUUUUAGGUGGGAUCUAUUUUUAUAUGCCUGUUGGUUUUUGGUAAUUCAUUUCUCUUGGAUAACUGCAAUUAUGAGGCAGCAACCUAUGGUGAAUGUUAAACUAUGUAGAGUUAUUAUUUUUGAGGAUAUCGUGAUAAAGAACCUGCACAAGUUGUCAUAAAACCUGCACAAGUUGAGACAUUUUGAACUGCAAAUAGUAUCUUUUCAUUUGCCGGACAGAUUUACUCAUGGUCAAAUGCUAUGACUGUCCGAGCAAAGAUCAGGCCGUCAGAGACUUUUUGAGCAAUUAGCAAUAUUAUUGCUUUCAUUGAUUUGGAACCAAGAAUGAGGGUAAAUUAUUAUUGGCAAAAUUGUGAGCACUUUCUAUCGUUUUAGGUCAUUAUCAUUGUUCUGUGUUGACUCGUAUGUUCCAGGUCUUCUGUCAAGCAAUUUUUAGCAAGGUUCUUAGAAAUUCCUUAAACAAAGAAGAUAAUGAUUCUGUGAUCCAACUAUUUGCAGUACUUGUGAAACUAUUUUCUUAUUAUGUCAUAAGUUGUUUCUAACAUAUAGACUUGUCUGUUUCUCUGUAGUUGAAUGAUGUGCAGUAGCAAUCUUCCGCCAACUUACGAAUAAGGGCAAUUUGUCUCUCCCUGGAAGGCAUAAAUAUAUGUAUGUAUAAUACUAUAAUGUAAUGUAUCAGAGAAAUAAGAAGAGCAGAAAGAGUUUUCUUUUGCUUAUUUGCUGGGGCUCCAUGAGAGUUAUUCCUGUACAUGUUCAAAUAUCCAUUCUAGGAGGCAAACUAAUGGGAUCAUCUCACGGAACUCAGCAAGUGAUUAUUAUUAAGUGUAACUCUUGGGAUUAGGAUUCUCCUCUAAUCUUAAGCUUCUCUAAUCUUCUUUUAAUGAUUUGAUUUUGAUCCCUGUGUAAUUUUUAAAGAUUUUAUUUAUUUAUUUCUUAAUAAAUCUCAUUCAAGAUAGUUCUUGAUACAUUUUUACUUUUAGCUCAUAUGUUAUUUAACCAACGGUAAACAUAAAGCAUCUGUUCUCUAAAUUUAGUCAAUAUAAUCAGGCAUGAAGUGACCUUGCUUAUUGUCCAUUAGAGAAUUAAUUUGGGCGCUUAAUUUUUAUCAAUUGAAUCCGAUAAUACCCGUUCAUGCUAAAUUAAAUUCAUUAUAGUAAUUUUUUAAAAAAACUUAAUUUUAUUUUUUAUUUUUUAAGAUAAAGGGUGGGUAAAAUUUAAAUUUAUUUUUUAAUCCCUUCUUAAGACUCAAACUUAAAUGGCUAGUUAGAUAAAACUAUUUGAAGAAAGAGAAACAGCAUGUGAGAUCUUAAAACAAAUUGUUUGAAGAUAGAGAAAUAGCAUGUGAAUAGAGGUGGGCAUGGUUCGGUCCGGUUUGGUUCAGAUCGAAAUUAAGCGGUUAUUUUAUAAAAAGAACCAAAUAAGAACUGAAAUCAAUAAAAAUUUCGGAUCGGGCCUAUUUUGAAUUUCUAAAUUUUUAACCCAUUAGGUCUCAUGAAUAUAAUAAUUUUUUUCAACAAUUAAUUUAUCCUAAUUUCAUUACAAAUAUUAACAAUAAAUACAAAGUAUUCAAAACACAUUUUAUCACUAAUAUCUUACUAACUACUAAUAAGGUACUUAUAAAAUAUAAAAUAUUAAGAUUUCAAAAUACAUAAUCAAACUUCAAUACUCCAUCUACAUAAACAUAAUGUUGUAAAAACAAAUAAAAAUAACAAAAAUUAAAACUUACAACACAAAAUAAAAAGAAAAUUUGGAAACAAACACCAACAACAGUUUUUAAAUAUAUAUAUAUAUACCCGUAAUCGUGUGUGUGCAUGCCUAUUUUAGUUAUCUUACGCAACCAAUUUAAAUUUAAUAUGUGUCUAUUUAAAUAAAAUUUCAAGAAUAACCCGGUUUUUCGGUUCAGCUGAGUAAACCAAAUACCGAACCUGCAUUUCGUUUUUUUUCUACAAACCAUAUAUUUCGGUUAUUUUUUAAAAUUAAAACCGGUCCGAACGGAAUGGUUCGGAUCAGUUCAGUUCGGUUUUCUUUAAUGCACGGUUUUUUUGCCCAUCCCUACAUGUGAGAGUGAGACCCUAAAAAAAAUAAAUUCAAGUCAAACACUACAGAAGUGCUUUAGAGCAUAGACUCACCUGUACAAUGUGAUAAUGAUAUGGUCUAUUUUGUUUGCUUGAAGAUGAUGCCAAAUUGAGGCUGGUGAAAGUUGUGUGAAAAUCACCUUUAUCAGUAGGUGACAACUAAAGAAGGAAACUAGUUCCAUGUACAUUGUAGGUGACAACUAGGGAUGGACAAUCAAUUCAAUUACUAGCUAGAAUUUGAAGAAUGAUGGAUGAUAGCAACAAAAAUGACAAUUUGAGAUUGAGUGAUUGAAUCGACUUAUUUCAUUUUUCAAUAUAGGUAUUUUAUCAUUACAAACUAAAGAUGUAAAAUAGACCAGUCCGACGUGACACAAAUCUAGCAUAAAAAAAUUGACUUGCUAGCAUGACACGAGUGUUUAAAUGAAUCUACUCCAACCUCACAUUUUAAAUUUAUGUGUGAUUUGUUUGCUAUUAUUAUUGGAGAACUAUAGCUUAAAAAAGCCACGGACGUAAAAGAUGAGUGUUUCAACAAAACAUGAAUACUAAUGAGUCAAUGUUGUGCAGAGCCUGGAUCAACCCUUUAAAAAUUAAGCCCAACACGACGGUCUAUCAUCCAAGCUAUUCAAAACAUUUCUUCUACUGCAAAUUAUUAUUUAUUCAUGCAACUUCAAUUCCUCUAAUGCUUAGAGAAAGAACAGUCGAAAAUAACUAGCUAAUUAAUUAAAGCAGUAAGGCUCUUAAUUAAUAUAUUGAAUGUUGCUUCGCCGAUGUUUGAACUUUUCUCCCCUUUUAACACACUAUUGAAAAUAACUAACUGAACAUAAAUAAAAGAAAUCACAAUUUCAUUAUUUUUUACUUGAACAAAAUUUCUAUGAUUAUGUACAAUUUCAAUAUUUACAGCGUGUUGGCGCCUUUUGCAUUAGGAUAUAAUUAAGGUGUGUAGCUUUUUUAGCACACUUUUUUUUAAUUGGUUCAAGAAUAGUCUCCAUUUGUUUUUCUUUCGUUUUGAUUGUAGCAGUAUAGAAGAAAGACGCACCAUAAAGUAUAAUAACCAAAAAAAAAAGGAAAAAAAAAGAAAAAAAAAACAAUUAGAUUAGAGGUACCCAAAACACUAAAAACUCACCAAAAUUAUGUGUAAGUCACACAAAAGACCUGUUGCGCCAUUCACCAAAUUUUUUAACCUUUUUGAGUUGGUAAUUAAGCAAAUACUGGAAACAGAACGAAAACGAAGAAUCAAUAUGACAUGAACGGCCUAACUCGUCUGUCGGAUUUGAGAUAGAUCGCGUCGAAACUCAACGUAGUACUUAUCUCAUGCUCAUAUCUAAAAGCUUAUAUCAUAAAUUUAACCCAGGACUAUACAUAAAAUUGGUUUCGGUCUCUACCAUAAAUAUAAAAUAGCAUCUAUACCUCAUUCGAAAACAUAUUCAAAAUUUUCACAGUUCGAAUUUCAUUGUACAUACAUACACUUUAAAUCUAUACAUAUAAACAUAAACGUGCCCAAAAUGUAAGUUAUGUAGCAAUGUGUGUUACGUCCCAACCUUAACUAAUUGGAAACUAAACUGCACGAAAUCUUAUGGAAACCUAGGAGAAAUGGGUAAAUAAGAAAAUAAUGAGCUAGAGUUCAAUGAGUGGAUAUAAUUGAUAAGUGCAUAUUUUCUCUAUAUUUUACAAUUAAUUUCUCCAACUUUUUCUUGUUUUGGUGUUAAAUACUCUAAUUAUUUUAGUUUAUUUUAUUAUGUUAAUUUUUGUCUUACUUUUUAUAAUAUUUUAUUAUUGUAGAUUUUAUCCUUAAUUUAAUAUUUGCUAGUUAAUUAUAUUAUUUUAUUUGAUAGGGAAUUAAUUGGAGAUUAUGGAUAAAAAUGGCAUGAAGAAUUUCAAUUUGGGAAACAAUCAAGAUUAAAUUGGAAAUCAAUUGAAAGACAAGGGAAAAUAAACUCAAGAAGCCGUGGCCAACAAGAAUUUGAAGAGCAAAAGUUGCAAGUCAAUUUCGUCAAGCUUCGAAUGGACAUGCAUUAUUGGAAAAUAAACUAUUUACUUUGGCAAUUGCAUGUGCAUGGCAAUAAAAAAAGGGAAUGAAAAUCCUAAAUGUGAUUCUAAGUGCUUGCACGUACAUGGAUUCACUUGACCAAUUUAAAAAGAUUGUAUGUAUGUCUUGCCAAAGUUAGGAUGCACGUGCAUGGCAUUAAAUUAUGGAAAGCAAAGUGAAAAAAAAAAAGGAAACGGCGAUAUUUAAGCAUGCACAUGAAUUGCCAAAGAAAAGGUCGGUGGCGUAUGCAGAAUAAAAAGCCAACGUUUGGCUUUCGAAAAAAGGACAAUCGGCAGCCAAGAGGAAUUGAAGAGAAAGCAGCGGCAAGAAGAACGAAAAAAAAAUAGAGGAGGUGGCCUCUUGAAUUAAUCUCUAUGUCUCUUUUUAUUAAUUUUUUUUAUUUCUAAUUUAAUUAUGUUAGGCUAGAUUUUUUAUUUGGUUAAGGGUGAAUUCAGAACCCCAAACAUGUCAUAUGAUUAAUGUUCAAUUUCUAUCAUUCAAUUUAUUUAAUUGAGAUUGUUUAUGUUCUUCCAUAAUUAAUGUUUAUGAUUUUAUUCUUAUCUUAUUUGAGUGGCCAAUUAGAUAGGAUUUGAAUAAAUUCUAUUGCUAGAUUAAAAUUCUUGAUCCGUAAUUGUCUUGAUGUUUUAAUCAUUAGUAGCAUGUUAGAAUCAAUUAUUUCAAUUGGAGAACAUAACCUAGGUUAAAUAAUCCGAUCUUGUAUGUUUAUUACCUAGAUCAAUCUAAUAUCUUUCUCUACUUAAUACUUCUAUUAUCUUAAAUUUAAAGAACUUGUUUUAAAUUAUUUAAUGGUUAGAGAUUAGGUGAAGAGCUUGUUUUGCCUAACGAUACUCUAAGAAAAGAUUGAGACUAACUGAGCUUAUUGUUGUCUACGGUUGAUAGUUUCAAUAGAAAUUGAUGAUAUAAUUGAUAUAUUAUGUGCAUGUUUGGUGGUGACGAAUGAUUUUUUAACCACGGUUUUCAUCAUUAUUAUUUCUUUCUCCUUUAAUUGGAGUUUUUAUUAAAUUAUUGUUUUUGUAAUUUUAAUUUCUUUAUUUCUUGCUAUUUAUUUAAAAAUUCAUAAAACACCCCUUUUUAUUUAUAAUUGGAAUUUUCUUUAGUUAAAUUAAUUUAUAUUAUUAUUACUACUAUUAUUUUAUUUUAAAUCCUGCUUUAGAGUUGAUAAUAAAUACAACUAGUAUAGUCUUUGUGGAAUCGAUCCUUACUCGCUCUAUACUAGUUAUUAAUAUUAGUAGUAAGGUUUUAAAUUUUGUGCACCUUAACGACACUACCAAAUUUUUGGCGCCGUUGCCAAGGAUUAGCAUCUAGUUUCUUUAUUAUCACUCAUUUUAUUUUAUUAUUUUUACUUUUUUUUUCAUUUUAUUUGUUUAUUUUAAUUAGUUAUUUUCUGUUCUAUAUUUAGAUUUUUAUGGGUAUAGAGGACAUUCGAUUGAAACUCGAUCAUCUCAGAGCAACCUCAUCACAUUCAGAACUCGAUUUUUCCAUCCACAUUUCAUUCCUGAAGACAGAGCCAGGCAGCCUAGAACCUGAACCAAUAGCUCAGAACAACAAUCUAACACUUAAAGAGUUGGUAGCUCCUAACUUGGACCAGCAACCAUUAUGCAUUGAGAAUCCAAAUCCUCAGGUUAACUUUGAACUCAAGUCUAGGAUGAUUCAUCUUCUUCCUACUUUUCAUGAUUUUGAAGGAGAGGACCCAAAUAAGCACUUGAAGGAGUUCCAUGUGGUAUGUUCCACAAUGAAACCAGCUGGAGCUUCUGAAGAGCAAGUUAAGCUAAUGGCCUUCCCAUUUUCUUUGGCGGAUUCAACCAAGGAAUGGCUGUACUAUCUUCCCUCUGGUACUGUCACCACAUGGAAUGAGAUGCGUCAGGUAUAUUUGGAGAAAUACUUCUCAGCAUCAAAAGCUGGCAGCAUUUGAAAAGAAAUUUGUGGAAUCCGACAAUAUAAUGGAGAGUCACUCUACGACUACUGAGAACAAUUCAAAAAGCUAUGUGCUACCUGCCCCCACCAUCAGAUAAGUGAUUAACUCCUUAUUCAAUACUUUUAUGAGGGUUUACUUCCUAUGGAUAUGAGUAUGAUUGAUGUCGUUAGUGGAGGAACACUUGUGGAUAAGACACCAGAAGCAGCCCGAAAUAUCAUUGCUAACAUGACUGCUAAUUCCCAACAGUUCAACACUAGGAACGAUCUAUUGCCGCCACCUAAGUGAGUCAAUGGGGUAAGUACUACUUCCCUAGAACAACAAGUUUCAAAUCUUACUUCUUUGGUACAACAGUUAGCCUUAGGGCAACGGGUGAGACCGUGUGGCGUAUGUUCCAUGGUCGGGCAUGUGACUGAUAUGUGCCUUGUUCUCUAAAAGGGUCCCAUGAGCAGGCCAACAACGCAGUUGAGGGGUUCCUAAGCCAACCAAGACAAAUGUAUGAUCCAUACUCUAAUUUUUACAUUGAAGGGUGGAAUGAUCACCCUAAUAUUAUGUAUGGGAACCAACAACAAGGCAUUCCUAAUGUGGCACCAUCUCGACCACUGAGCUACCCUCAACAGCGGGUGCAACAGCCUUACCAAGUCUGGCCACCUUCACCUCCUCAAAGUCAAGGUACAUCUUUCGAAGAUCUUGUAAAAGCUCUCGCUACUAACCCUAUGCAGUUCCAAUAGACUACCUAGACACAACUCCAACACUUAGAGAAUCAAAUUGGCCAACUGGCCACAUCUAUGAGUAGGAUAGAGGCUAGAGUUUCAGGAAAAUUACCUUCUUAACUAGAAAUUAAUCCGAAGGAGAAUGCUAGUGCUAUGUCUCUUAGGUGUAGAAAGCAGUUGGAACCAUUAUUAGCCAAGCCAUCAAAGAUGUCUACAACAUCAUCGCACUUUGUGACCAAUCCCUCUCUUGAGACUAUUCCUUUAAUAAGGAAAGACGAUUCCUAUUCUACAUUGCCAGUUGACCCAUCUGGCCAGGUAAAUACCACCCACCUCGAAUUAAGACCCUUUCUAUUCCUCCACCAUUUCCUAGCUGGUUUAAAUAAUCCAAAAAAGAUGAACAAAAAAAGGAGAUCGUUGAGACCUUUCAUAAAGUAGAGGUAAAUAUUCAUCUACUUGCUGCUAUUAAAUAGGUGCCGUGUUAUGUAAAAUUUUUGAAGGAAUUAUGCAGCAACAAAUGAAAGAUGAACGACAAUGAAAAUGUAAGUGUAGGAGAAAAUGUAUUUGCUGUACUUCAAAGAAAACUUUCUCCUAAGUGCAAGGAUCUAGGUACUUUUACUAUCCCCUGCACUAUUGGCAAUACCAGAUUUGAAAGAUGUAUGCUAUAUUUAAGGGCCUCAAUUAAUGUUAUGCCAUAUUCGAUUUAUAACUCCUUGAAUUUAGGUCCAAUGGAAGAAACUGCUAUAAUUAUUCAAUUGGCUGAUAGAUCUAAUGCUUACCCAAAGGGGGUUGUGGAAGAUGUUCUUGUGCAGGUCAAUGAAUUGGUCUUUCCAGUUUUUUUUUAUAUCCUUGAAAUAGAGGAUGAGUCAUUGCCCAAUCCUACUCCUAUUCUGUUGGGGCGACCAUUCCUUAAGACAGCCCGAAGCAAGAUUUAUGUUCAUGAUCGAACCCUCACAAUGGAAUUCGAUGGUGAAAUGAUCUGUUUCAAUAUCUUUGAGGCAAUAAUGUAUCCUAGUAAUGUACAUUCUGUCUUUGCCAUAGAUGAUAUUAAUACUUUGGUGCAUGAUUUCUUUGAGUUAUCCGGUAAUGAUAGUUUUGAAACUGCCAUAAUAAAAAAUCUUACGAAAGAUGAUUCUAAGGAACAAAUAAAUUUGAUAAAGUUGGAUGAUGAGGUAGAGAAAGCUAUGAGGAUCUUAGAUGGAGCAACCCCAUUACGUACCAGUGGGUAUAAUGUUUCUUACCUUGAAUUGCCUUUUUCCAAUGAGAAACUUUUACCUUUAGUUAUGCGGGCACCUACCUUAGAACUUAAGCCACUCCUAGAGCACCUGUAAUAUAUUUACUUGGGUGAGAAUGAAACACUUCUUGUCAUAAUUGCUAAAACCCUCACUUCAAUUCAAUAAGAAAAGCUAAUUAGGGUGCUUCGGGAUCACAAGACGGUGAUUGGUUGGACCAUUGCCGACAUUAAAGGAAUUAGUCCUUACAUGUGUAUGCAUCAUAUUUUACAACACCGCCUUAAUCCACUAAUGAUGAAAAUCAUAAAAAAGGAGAUAUUGAAACUCUUUAAUGUGGGGAUUAUAUAUACCAUUUCUGAUAGUAAAUGGGUGAGUCCUGUGCAGGUAGUUCCAAAAAAAUCGAGCAUCAUAGUGGUCAAGAAUGAAGAAAACGAGCUUGUGCCAACUAAAGUCCAAAUUGGGAGGAGGGUUUGCAUUGACUACCGUAAACUGAAUGUGAUUAGUAUUAAAAAUUGUUUAAUUAUCAAGCGAUAAUAAUGUUAUUUUGUGCUUAUGUUAUAAUUUAUAUUUAUGUUUAUGCAAUAUAUUAGAAAUUAUUAAUUAUGUAUUAAAUAUAUCUAAUUUUGUGUGUUUAUUAGGUAAAAUAUUAAUUUCACGUAAUUCGAGGCUCCAAAUAGAUAAACGAAUGUCAAAUUUGGAUUUUGGAGUUCCGAAAACCUUCAGAUGAGUCAAGAUCAGCUUAUAAUUGGACUUGUGUAAAUAGAGUUGACUUUUUUCUGUUGACCGAGUAUUGAUUGAAUGAUAAAAUAAGCUUACAAUAGAUGAGUGCAUGGGAUAGCUAGCAAUUUUGACUAAAUCUCAACCGUUCAUGAUUCAAUGGCCAUGAUUAUGCCACGUGGUAAUGAUUGGUGAAGCAAGUUGUAGGAUCCGAAUCUUUGUAUUCGGGUCAACCCAAUCCAUCUAAACCUGCCAAAUCUCAAUUGUUCUUUGGCCAAAUCAGACGAGUCAAAUGAUGCCACGUGUAAUGUUGACUUUUGAAGUUUGAUCAGCCGUUGGAUCUUGAUCUAAUGGUUGUGAGGAGCGCAUGCAUGAAGCUUAUGAUGGACCGCAAAACACUAAAUUAUGAAUUUAUUUUUCUAUAAAUAAAACAUCAUUUUUAUGUUUUUAAUCAUCUCUCUACGUCUCUUUUCUUCUCAAAGUCUCUCAAUCUCUCUGUAAUCUUAUUUUCCAGGUGUGUUUUUAAUAUUUUGUAUAAUUAUUUUUAUAAAUAAAUUUAGUUUUAUUUUCAAUUUUAGUUGUUCUUAUUACUUUUAAUUAUAAGUAAUUUAAUUUUAAUAAUUCUUUUUAUUUCAAUUAUACUUAACUAAAUAAUAAUAGUUAGGGUAAGGUGAAACUCUUAGGAAUUUGCCUGUAAUGACUAAUUUUCGGGCUUUAUCUAUAAAAACUCAACUCCAACUUCAAUUUUAAGAUUCUAGCAAGCAUAAACAAGUUUGAAACAACAUAUUUUGAGCUUCCAAUUCGCAAAUUAUCAUAGAUUAAAUCUUCAUUGUGCUAUCAUUUGUAUAUUCACUCUAAAAGAGAGUUGUUUCUUGUAAUUUUCAUUUCUUUAUCAAAUUUGUGAGCGUUUGAGUGUGAGAAACACUUGAGUUAAGAGAUUGAGGGAUAAUCUCUUGUUGUAAAGGUUCAUUGACACCUUAGAAGUAAGGAUGGCAAAAUUAGGGUCCGGGUUCGGGUUUGGCCUUCCCGGUUCCGGACCUAGAUACUAAAAUUCUAUACCAGAUCUAGAUUUAAACCCGAUUUUUGUGACACUGGGUCUGGUACGAGUUAAACCCGGAAUAAUCCGGGUUUCCGGAUUGUGAAUUUUCAACCCGGAUCACAUACAAAUAAAAAAAUAAAAAAAUCAAAUACACUUUACAAAUUUGCAAAACCAUAUUCGACACAAAUCAAAUACAAAGCAAUAAACCAUUAUGAUUUUAAAUAUCAAAACAAUAAACCAUUUACAAAUACAAAUCCAUGACAUGACAUUCACAAAAUACAAAUUCAUGUCUACAACUCAAAAUCGUGAUUCACGAAUUUGGUUCACAAACUUCAACAAUCGGUGUUCGGCGAAGUAACGAACAACGGUGGCUGAUGAUAUGAUGAUGAUGAACACAUCACAGCCGCAAGCAUGAUUCGCAAAAGGCGAAUCAACGGCGGCUAAAACUAAGAUCGCGAUGGACAAACAACGGCCAAACAGAGGUUGGUGAUGAUAAUGAAGGUGAACACAGUGAAGCAAAGUGAUGAGGAGUGACGACGAUGAGUUGAUGAAGAGAAGAACUGAAGAGGGACGAACAUGGUGAUUUGAUGAAGAGAAAAGAAAGAGGUGAAGAAAGGCGGCUGUGAAAGGGUGAAAUGGAUUUAAGGCAUCAACAUUCUUUCCCCUUUUUUAUAUUAAAAUAUAAUUUAAAGAUUAUGCUAAAAUAAAGAUAUCCGGGUUCGGGUUCCGCAUAUGCGGGUUUAUGCGAACCCGGAAAUGUCUGGGUCGGUAAAAUCGUAUCUGGAUACUGGAUUAUUUCAAUCCGGUAUGGGUUAAACCUAGCCCGAAUUAUUUGGGUUAGACUGGGUCUUGGCCGGGUCCGGGUUAAAUUGCUAUCCCUACUUGGAAGUCAAUUGUAAACAUUUGAAACCUUGAGAGGCUUGGUUAGUGAAGUUCUCAAGCUUGGUUUGGUUGAAGGCGUGGACGUAUGCGAGGAUUGCCGAACCACGUAAAAAUCUUUGUGCUUCCUCUCUCUUCCCUUACUCUUUUAUUUUUUAGUAUUAUUAAAUUUAUUAUUUUUGAUUUUAGUAUUGUUAAAUUUAUUAUUUUUUAUUUCAUUAAGGCAUUAUAUUAAAUUGUUGUGCGAUUUAUUUAGCUUAAGUUUUAAAAACCCAAUUCACCCCCCUCUUGGGUUGUAUAACUAGUAUUUCAUUUGGCAUCAGAGCUUGGUUCUCUUAUUCGGACUUAACCGUCUAGAGUAAAAGAUACAUGACAACGCAAAAUGACUUAACCUUUAGGGAAGGACAGUCUACAACUAGACCACCGUUCUUUGACGGUAAUGACUACCCAUAUUGGAAAACUAGGAUGAGAAUUUAUUUACAAGCUUUAGAUUAUGAAAUUUGGGAAGUUGUUUGUGAUGGUCCAUUUAUGCCUAUGACUAAAAAUGAAAUAGGAGAUGAUAUUCCAAAACCUUCAAGUCAAUGGAGUGAGUUAGAAAAGAAAAAAAUAUCUUUAAACUCCAAGGCAAUGAAUGCUUUGUUUUGUGUUCUAAAUAAAAAAGAGUUUCAUAGGGUGUCAAGUUGUGAGAGUGCUAAAGAAAUAUCAACUGAAGGAAUUUAUGUCGAUUCUCAAAAGAUCGAAGCAGUUGGAAAUUGAGAACGACCUACAAAUGUCACAGAGGUUUGGAGUUUCCUUGGAUUGGCUAGUUAUUAUCGCAGAUUUAUGGAGGGAUUCUCCAAGAAUGCUAUUCUUUUGACACGAUUAACCAAAAAGAAUGUUAAGUUCCAAUGGGAUGAUCACUGUGAAAAGAGUUUUCAAGAACUUAAGACAUGUCUUACUUCAACACCAGUUCUUACACUUCCUUCUAGUAAUGAAGGGUUUGUAGUAUACAAUGAUGCCUCUAGGCAAGGAUUGGGUUGUGUGCUAAUUAAACAUGGGAAAGUAGUGGCUUACGCUUCUAGACAACUUAAAAAGCAUGGUCAAAACUACCCAACACAUGAUUUAGAGCUAGCAGCAGUGGUGUUUGCACUUGAGACAUAGAGGCAUUAUUUAUACGGGGUAACGUGUCAGAUUUUCACUGAUCAUAAGAGCCUGAAGUAUUUAUUUACUCAGAAAGAGUUAAAUUUGAGACAAAGGAGAUGGAUCGAGCUGAUUAAGGACUACGAUUGCACUAUUGAUUAUGAUUCGGGCAAAGCGAAUGUGGUAGUUGAUGCGCUAAGUAGGAAGUCCUCCAACUCUAUAGCUCAAUUGUGAGUUGCAUAUAUGCUUUUGUUGAUCGAGCUGAGAUCUUUGGGAGUUGAGUUGGAAGCUAAUAAUUGCAGAGCUCUAAUAGCUAAUUUUCGAGUUAGGCCGACUUUGAUUGACAAAGUCCAUCAGAUGCAAGAUUAGGAUCCGCAGCUAAUAAAGUUAAGAAAAGAUGUGCAAAAAGACUUGCGAACCGAUUUUACAGUGAGAGAUGAUGGAGUUUUAGUGAUGGGUAAUCGACUUUGUGUACCCGAUAUUGAGGAGUUGAAAAAGGAGAUCAUGGAAGAAGCUCAUUGUUCAGCUUAUGCAAUGCAUCAUGGUAGUACGAAGAUGUAUCGUACCUUGAAGAAUCAUUACUAGUGGCAAGGUAUGAAGAAAGAGAUAGCAGAAUAUAUAUCUCAGUGUUUAGUUUGUCAGCAGAUUAAGGCUGAACAUUAGAGACUUGCAGGGUUUUCGCAGCUGCUUCCUAUCCUUGAGUGGAAGUGGGAGCACAUCACCAUGGACUUUGUAGCAGGACUUCCACGUACCCAGAGUGUGGUCAUGAUAGUGUUUGAGUGGUUGUUGAUCGACUGACAAAAUCUGCUCACUUUUUACUAUUCAAGACUGUUGUGCAAAUUUUAUUGAACUUGCAAGUGCACGAAUCUAUUGUAGAAUAGACUAAUGGUGACGAGUGUCGAUCCCACGAGGAGGUAGAUUUUAAUUGUGUGUAGAAUUAAUUUUGUAAAUGGGUGGUUGAAUUUCUGGUGAAAUUGAUUUGGAAUAUUCUAAAACUUAAAUUAAAAUGGCUAGAAUAAAUUGAAGAUAGAUCUAUUAAAAUGAAGCACUUGGGUAUCCGGAUCCGUAUCAACAUGCACCAUGAGCUAAAUAUUCCUUAUUAAUGCCAAUUAAAUCAUGAGGGGGGAAUCCACACCUCAUGAACCACUCUAUAAUCAAUAUGGUGCUAAGGGCUUAUCGUGCCAAAUAAUAAUAACCUUGUACUAGGGGGCCGGUGAAACCAAGGAGGUACUAGACAAGAUUAGUAUUAUUUGUCGACGAGAAGUCAAAACAUCCACAAAAAUUAGAGGGGAAGAGAAAGUAAAUUUACCAAAUAAAGCCCAUGACACAUGUUGAGACUUCAUCUUCAACCCAAGCUUGAAAGAAAAUUAGCUAUUCAUAAUUGAACUAGGGGCAAAAUGGGAAUUUAUUAAAAUACACAGAAAAUACAAGAUGGAGAAGGAAUUACAGAAAAUGGAGUCCAAAAAUGGAUUCAGAGAUAUCAAAUUAGGCGGGGAAGGCCCCAUUUUUAUAGAUACAUUGAGUAAAUCAUGGCCAUCAGAUUAAAAACAGUUUGGACGCUCAAGAUUGCGCCACGUCAUCAGUCAACAGUACGCGGUUUGACCACGUGGGUGAACAGUAACAUGAUUUGACCCGGCUUUGAACAGUAAUGCGGUUUGGUUGAAAAUAAUCCUGUGUAAUGCAUGUACCGUACACGCAAGUUUUGGUUCACUAAUAUGCUGCCAUGUCACCAUCAACAGUUCAUAAGAAUUUUAGACCAAUAGGAUCAUGGCACCUCAUCAGUCAAUGCCACAUCAUCGGUCAAUGCCACGUCAUCGAUCUGUCUAUGUGAACAAUGUCAUGAACAGUAGCGUAGACAGUACCGUACAUGUGAAUAGUACCGUACAUGUGAACAGUGCCAUUUUUCCUUUUAUGCUCCUUCUAAGGUUUUCGACCGUCUUAAGUUCAAAAGUGAUGUCUGUUUUGCCGUUUGAUCUCUCGUUUAUUGUGAAAUGACUAUGAUACCCCUAAAAUACACAAAAUACUUAAUUAAAAUAAAACACACAUAAUUAAAUUAAAAGAACCUUAAAUACACAAAAGUAAGGGUGUUAGUAAAACUUGAAGUGUAAAAUGACGAUUUUCUCCUUUAUAAAUAUACAUUUUCUAACACUCAACAAAGACCACUUAUUCAAUGGACAAGUUGGGAAGUAUUUAUGUGGCUGAGAUAGUUCGACUUCACGGAGUGCUCGUGUUAAUUGUCUUAGAUAGAGAUUCCCGAUUUACUUCUAAAUUCUAGACCAACUUGCAAAAGAUAUUAGGCACCAAGUUAAAUUUUAGUACAACUUUUCAUCCAUAGACUGAUGGUUAGUCAGACCGUACUAUUCAAACCCUGGAGGAUAUGUUGCAAGCUUGUGUUUUGGAGUUUAAGGGUAGUUGGGACAUUUAUUUACCCUUGAUGGAGUUUGCUUAGAAUAACAGUUAUCAAGCUGACAUCGAGAUAGCACUUUAUGAGGCUUUGUAUGGCAGGAAAUGUAGAACUCCAGUAUGUUGGGAUGAAGUUGGCGAGCGGAGAUUAUUUGGUCCCGAAUUAGUUCAGAAUACUAAUGAGAAUAUACAACUUAUUCGAGAUAUAUUAAAGGUAGCCCAAAAAAAACAAAAGAGCUAUGCAAAUAUGCGUAGGAGGGAACUUGAAUUCAAAGUGGGUGAUAAGGUUUUCAUACGGAUAUCUCAUUGGAAAGAGGUACUUCGAUUUGGGAAGCACGAAAAGCUAAGCCCACGUUACAUUGGAGCAUAUGAGAUCGUGGAGCAUAUUGGUCCGUUGGCGUACCGAUUAGCUCUACCACCUGAGUUAUCCAGAAUCCACGAUGUGUUUCAUGUCUCGAUGCUCUGAAAGUACAUGUAUGAUCCCAGUCAUGUGUUAUCAUGACAACCAAUAGAGUUGAAGGAAGACUUGACUUAUGAAGAGGAGCCAGUGGAAAUACUGGAACAGAAGCACCAAGUUUCGCGUUCUAAAACCAUUCCGUUAGUAAAAGUGUUAUGGAUGAAUCACACAAGGGAAGAGGCUACUUGGGAACGCGAAGACUUAAUGCGAGCCCAAUACCCUCACCUAUUCUCAUCAGAUGUGUAAAUUUCGAGGAUGAAAUUUUUAUAAGGGGGAGGAUUGUAACAUAUGCACUUUAAUUUUCCGAAUUAAGUGUAUUAUUUCCUUUUUCCCCAUCGACAUUAAUUUUAAAUUUAUCGGACUUGUUCUGAAUUAUUAUGGUGAAGUUGAUACAACACGAUUAUCCGACAUUAUGAGUGGUGAUUGUUAAAUGUUAUGCGUUUAUUAAAUAAAUCGUGUUUGGAUUAUUUUAAAUUUGUCAUGACAUAAAAUUGAAACAAUUCGAACAUGAUUCAAUGGCUAUGUAGUCGGAUUUUUAUUUCAACAUGGGUUCGGCGUUAGCAUAAUUGGUAGUAAGCUAAAAAAAAAAUGGAAGCUAGUUUCUAUAAAUAGAAAGAGGGGAGUUGGUUUCCAAAAAGGGAAAGAGAAGGGGCGAGAGAGAAGGAGAAAUUGACAUGUUUGACCCGACCCCACCCUCCAAACCGACCCGCCCUAACUCUCAUUUUCGGCCACCGUUCCGGUCAAGCUUAGAACUGAUAUGAAGUUGGAGCGACGCCGGUCAUAUCCCUGCUGUCAACGUCGCCGAAAAACAGCCAGAACGCCGGCGAUGGAAGCUCGAAAGACCGCGACUCGACCUGUUUUUGUUGCCGUCGAUUUCGCCGGAUUUAGGCAGCGUUACCACUUAGAUCUGGAUUCUCAGCUCACCCUCAUCGUUUUCCAACCAACCCCGCCAUCUGAAACUACCAUUUCGGCCAUGAACAACCGCCGGAAAGCUCGCGACUUGGGAAGCUCGAUCUGCCGCCGUUGCCGUGCGUGGGUGGUCACCACUGGCACCAUUGCACUCAUCGAGGUCAGAACUAUCAAACAUGAGCUUUCUGUCGCCGUUGACUGAAUUUCGGUCACCGUUGACCGGCAAUGGCAAUUCAAUAAUUUCGCAAACUUUGGGGAUUAUUUCGUAAUUUCUGAACUUGGUGGAUAAUUUGGUAAUUCCAGAUUAGGGUAGUGAGGCAACUUAAGAUUUAGGGGUAAUUUGGUAAUUUAUGUUCUUGAGGGCAUUUUGGUAAUUUUGCAUUCUAAGGGUAAUUUCGUAAAUCCAAAAUUUGUGGUUAAUUUUGUGAUCUGAAUUGAGAGCAAUUAGGUAAUUUAGGAUUUUGAGGAUAAUUUGAUAAAUUAUGGUUCUGACGGCAAUUCAGUAAAUUUCCAUGUCAAGGUCAUUUUGGUAAUUUUUGGAUAUAAGGGUAAUUUUGAAAGUUUAUGUAUCCCGAAGUUUUGUUUCGAGCUUUAUUUUGUAUUGUUAGUCGUAUUUCAUGUUACAAAUAAUAACUAUGUCGUUUACUUGAUUAGGAGGACCCGCGAACGAGAAUCAACCCACGGACAUUGUUGAUACCGAGUCUGGACAUCGUCACUGUGAGUGGAAUAUACAAAACCUACUUUCAUAGUAUAUUCUGAUUAUACGAUAAAGUAUAGCAUGUUUUAAUAAUAAGUAUUUGAUGCAUCGAUUUAAUGAUUUUCUAGAAAAUGGACUUUUAUUUACGUGUCGAUAUUUAUUAUUAUCAAGAAUGAGUUUGAUUAAUGAUUUUAUUAUCGUUUUUGAGUAAAUGCAUGGUAAUAAUUUUAAAGAGAAUAAAGUGGAUUUGAAGUAUGUUACGUGGAAAUAAAAUGAGAUUUUAGAUGUUUAUGAAUAUGUAUAUAAAAGGUUAUUUGCAAAAUCAUUGGACAAUACCCUUCCCCUCCAGAUACAGUGAUACAUGUGAUAUGAGAUGAGAAGCCUUUGGGGCUCGUCUGAACACACAUAGAGGCUUUGGGCCAUGUGUUUGGGCGUUUUUACCUUUUGAGGGCAUAUGGAUGCAGUGUGAUGAUUACAAAGAUACAUAUAUUGAGAUACAGAUGGGAUAUGAUGAUACAUAUGGGAUACGGUGAUACAGAUGAAAUGAAAGGCCUUUGAGGCCUGUCUGAGUACACAUAGAGGCUUUGGGUCGUGUGUCUGGGCGCUUUGUCCUUUGGGGACUAGAUUAUGCAUGCAAAAAUAUGAUGAGAUAUGAGAUGACAUUUCCCCGUCUAUCCGUUGUUGCUCCGGGGCAUGAUAGUUCCCUGAUUGCCUGUUCGUUGAGGUCCGGAUAUGAUGAGAUUAUUUCCCUGGGUACUUGUUUGAUGAUAGUUUUGGUAUUCAGUAUUUGAUAUUAUAAGUAUUAUGAUUUCAUUGAUUUUAUACAGAUUUAUGUAAUAUUGUAAUUUCAGUGCAUGAUUUGAAUUAAAUAAGUUUAUGUAAGUUCUUAUGAUAUUUUGAUGAAAUUGAUUUGGGAAAGAUUAAAUCAUUUUUAAAUAAAUUUAUUUUUCAAAAAAUACUAUUCACUCAUUGAGCUUAUUGAGUUUUAUACUCACUUCGUUUUUAUUAUAUUUUUCCCCUCCACAGGAGAUUUGCAAGCACAUUAGUCAACCCAACAAUGAUAUUUAGAUUUGAAAUUAUGGCCACGUGAUGGUGUUAGGAAACAUAUAUGUUUUGUAGAGAUAUUUUGAAUUGUAUAAUUUAUUACUUAUUUGUGAUUAAUGAUAAAUUAUUGUAUUCUUGACAUUAUAUGUUUAAAGGAUACUGGUAUUUGGUUGAGGAAGUUGGUUGUGGAGAUUGGUUGAAUAUUAUAUCAUUUUUAGGAGUGUUAAUUUUAUAAAUUACAGGUUUGGGGAUGUCAUAAUUAUAUAGGAAACUCUGCCGAAUUUUUGGUAGAAUUCUUAGAUAUUAGAAUUAUUAUUAAUUCGGUUAGGCGAGAUUAGAUAGACUCGUCCUAUGGCUUCGGGGCGGGUCGUUUCAGAUGCAAUAUAGAAAGGUAAUUGGUUGUACUUUCAGACAGCUCAAGCAACUGCAUUAUCCAACACAUGAUUUAGAGCUUGCAGUAGUGGUGUUUGAUUUAAAGACUUAGAGAAAUUAUUUAUAUGGAGUUACUUGUGAGAUAAUCAUUAAAACUUGAAGUACUUAUACACACAUAAGGAAUUAAAUAUGAGAUAACGUAGGUGGGUUGAGUUGAUUGCAAAUUAUGACUAUAUUAUUGAUUGCCAUCCAUGCAAGGUGAAUUUGGUGGCUGAUGCUCUCAUUAGGAGGUCUUCCAAUUCAAUAUCCCACCUUAAAGUGUUGUAUCUUCUAUUGUUGAUCAAUUUGAUAUCUUUGGGUAUGAACUUAGCAGUGGGUGAGAAUAGAGCACUUUUGACACAUUUUUAGGUUUGGCAUGUUCUGAUUGGCUAGAUUUGAGAGAUGCAUGACCAAAAUCAGAAAUUGAUCAAAAUGAAAGAAGAUGUGAAGAACGGAAUACAAAUGGACUUUUCACAUAGAAAUGAUGGUACUUUAGUGGUAGUAGACUUUGUGUGUCGAAUAAUUUAGAUUUUAAAAACUAGAUUUUAGAAUAAGCACAUAAUUCAGUAUAUGCUAUGCACCCAAAUAACACGAAGAUACAUCAUGUUUUGAGGGAGCACUAUUGAUGGCAGGGGAUAAAGAGAAACAUAGCAAAGUGUGUGGCACACUAUUUAAUUUGUUAGCAAGUUAAGGUAGAACAUCAGGGACCUAUGGGAGAAUCUCAAUCGCUUGAUAUUCCUGAGUGGAAAUAGGAGCAUGUUACCAUGGAUUUUAUAAUAGGACUUCCUCACGAAGUCUGCUCACUUUUUAUCUUACAAAAGUAAAUACUCUUAUAAUAUGUGUUGUGCAAAUUUUAUUGAACUCGCAAGUGCACGAAUCUAUUGUAGAAUAGAUCAAUGAUGACGAGUGUCGAUCCCACGAGGAGGUGGAUUUUAAUUGUGUAGAAUUAAUUUUCUAUGAGGGUGGUUGGAUUUCUGGUGAAAUUGAUUUGGAAUAUUCUAAAAUUGGAAUUGAAAUGGCGAGAAUAAAUUGAAGAGAAAUCCAUUGAAAUGACGUACUUGGGUAUAUGGAUCCGUAUCAACAUGCACCAUGGGCUAAAUAUUCCUUAUUAAUGCCAAUUCAAUCAUGAGGGGGGUUUCCACACCUCAUGAACCACGCUCUAAUCAAUAUGGUGCUAAGGGCUUAUCGUGCCAAAUAAUAAUAACCUUGUACUAGAGAGCCGGUGUAACCAAGGCGGUAUCUAGACAAGAUUAUUAUUAUUUGUCGAUGAAAAGUCAAAUCAUCCACAAAAAUUAGAGGGGAAAAGAAAAUAAAUUUACUAAAUAAAGCCCAUGACACAUGUUGACCCAAGCUUGAACUAGAGGCAAAAUGAGAAUUUAUUAAAAUAUGUAGAAAAUACAAGAUGGAGAAGGAAUUACAGAAAAUGGAUCCUAAAAAUGGAUUCAGAGCUAUCAAAUUAGGGGGGGGGGGGGAGGCCCCAUUUUUAUAGAUACAUUGAGUAAAUCAUGGCCAUCGGAUUAAAAACAGUUUGGACGCUCAGGAUUGCGCCACGUCAUCAGUCAACAAUAAGUUGUUUGACCACUUGGUUUGAACAGUAACACGAUUUGACCUGGCUUGAACAGUAACGCGGUUUGGUUGAAAAUAAUCCUGUGUAAUGCAUGUACCGUACGCGAGAUUUUUGGUCCACUGAUAUGCUGCCACGUCACCAUCAACAGUACAUAAGAAUUUUAGUCUAACAGGAUCGUGACACCUCAUCAGUUAAUGCCAUAUCAUCGGUCAAUACCACGUCAUCGAUUCGUCUAUGUGAACAAUGUCGUGAACAAUAACGUAGACAGUACCGUACAUGUGAAUAGUGCCAUUUUUCCUUUUAUGCUCUUCCUAAGAUUUUCGACCGUCCUGAGUUCAAAAGUGAUGUCCGUUUUGCCAUAUGAUCUCUCGUUUAUUGUGAAAUGACCAUGAUACUCCUAAAAUACAUAAAAUACUUAAUUAUAAUACAACACACAUAAUUAAAUGACAAGAAACUUAAAUACAUAAAAGUAUGAAUGUUAGUGGAACAUGAAGUGUAAAAUGACAAUUUUCUCCUUUAUAAAUAUACAUUUUUUAACACUCAACAAUAUGAUGGUGAAUUUGUAUGUAAAGGAAAUAGUAUGUUUGCUUGAAGCCCUUGUGUCUAUUUGUUUCAAAUAGAGACUUACGGUUUACUUCCAAGUUUUGGCCUUGUUUACAGCAAGCUAUGGGUUCUAGAUUAAAUUUUAGUAUAACUUUCAUCCGUAGAUAGACAAACAAUCAGUAAAGAUUAUUCAGCUUUUGAAAGAUAUGCUUCAAGCAUGUAUUAUGCAGUUUCAAGGUAAUUAGGAUACAUGCCUACCUUUUAUGGAGUUUGCUUAUAAUAAUAGUUAUCAGUCUAAUAUGAGUAACACUAGUAAGUGUACAUUUAAUAAAGGUCAAAAUUAUCAAUUUUUUACUUAUAGUGUUGAUAACACUAACAAUUUCAUUACAUUAAUAAAUCCUUAACCUAUUAUUAAAAUUAAUAAUUCUUAUUUGUUUUUAAUUAUAUUUUUUGUACUUCGUAGGUAAUUCCCUAAAAUCAUAAUGCUUGGAUUUAAAAAAUGGACGUAAAAUUUGGAUUCCAAAAACUCAAAAGCCAUUGGAGAUUUUCUAGCCCUUUGAUAUGGCAUUAUUACUGAAUGAUUUAGAUCAUUCCAUGCGUCCAAGCUCACAAACACCAUGUUAUACUAGAUUUUGCACACCAAAUUUGGUAGAUAAACUAUCUUGACAAAUUAACUCAACCAUAUUAACAAAUGAGCAAAAGGAAGGUCCCGCUUUGACUUCAAUCAUAACCAUUGAUUUUGUUAAAUCCAACGAUCCAUAUGGUUGCAAAUUUUAAACCCUUGGAUUGUACUACUAAAUCUCAUCUAAAUGGUUAUGAUUGUAAGAUCAACAAAAUAUUGUAAACACCCAUACUUGAUCAUUUAAAAUUUGCCUAUAAAAAGGUAAGAGCUCUCACAAUUGAGGAUGUGCUAGAUUUUGGGAAAAAAAAGAAAAGGGGAGAGAAUUGUGUGGUGGAUUUUUGGGGUGAGCAUUUUGGGUGUAAAUAUAGAGUGAAUUUAGGAAAAAAUUCUCUUUCCUUUCCCUUUGUUUUUAAAUUUUCUUGUAUUGGACUUUACAAAGUUUAUUAAAUAAAAUGAGUGUUUUCCUUUUAAACAAGAGUGGCUAAAUUUUCUAAGCUGAGGUGAAAGGUGAAGCUCAAGGAUUCAAAUCAUGGAAUUAAUUACUCUUUCAAGUGAGUUUUAAGUCUAUUUAUUUGUUAUAUGUUUAUAAUUUAUACUUUUUUCUUUAUUGAUUACUUUCAUGUCAUGUUAAUUUGUAGAUCUAGAUCUCCUUGAAUCUAUAUAGAAUUUUAACAUAAUGUCAACGCUCCAAUAUAGCUGUGACAAAUUAGGUUCUUGAUCUCAUAUUUAUCUAUACAAAUAGUUUAUUAUGAAAUAAAUGGCAUUAUAAUUAACUAGCAAAAGAAAUGCAAAAUAUAAAUAUGAGAGAGUAUUAUGACCAUAAUUUGAAAACUGAGAGUGGAUCUCGUAACCUUAUGAUUUUUCUAGAUCGGUCUUUAUUAAUUUUUUUUUGUAAUUAAUUUUUGUUUAAUAAUUAAUUACUAGAUUUAUAAAUUUCUUGUGAUUCGAUCCCAGACUCAUUAGAUUAUAUUAUAACUAGACACUCUUAUACUUGGGAGUAAUUAACAAUUUUGGAUUGUACUAUAGUAUUCAGAUGGCACCAUUUGAAGUUUUGUGUGGAAGAAAAUGCAGGACUCGAAUAUGUUGUCAUGAAGGUGGGGAGAGGCAGUUGUUAGGUCUAAAAAUCAUCUAGAGUACUGAUGAGAAGAUUAAUGUCGUCAGAGAAAAGUUAAAGGCAAUAUAAGAUAGAAAGAAGAGUUAUAUAGAUAAGCAUCAGAACCACUUGAGUUUACAAUGGGUGAUAGGGAAUGACGUUCUUCGAUUUGGAAAACAUGGGAGUCGAGCCCUUAGUAUAUAGGCCUAUACGAGAUUAUAUAGUGUGUUGGUCUAGUUGCUUACCGUUUAGCUUUACCUCUAGAGUUUUUACAAAUGCAUGAUGUUUUUCAUGUUUCUAUGGUUCAGAAGUGUUUCUAUGUUUUAGAACCAAUCUAAAUGACAACAGAUUUGAUUUAUGAAGUGAAACUAGUUCAGAUACUUGAUUGGAAACAACAUGCGGUACAUAAUAAGACGAUCUCACUAGUUAAAGUGAUAUGGAAGAGUCACAUUGCAGAGGAGAGCACUUCAGAGCAUGAGGAAUAGAUUCGGUCAUAGUACCCAUAUUUAUUUCAACCAAGUAUGUAAAUUUUGAGGAAGAAAUUUUUAUAAAUAUGGAGGAAUUGUAGCACACGUGCAUGCAAUGGAUAAAGCUAAAUGUAGCUUGUUAAAUUGGAAGCAGUCAGCUGCAUACUUCACUUGCUUGCUUGAACCGGUGCUUAUAUAUAUAUUUAAAAAUUGAGAGUUGCUUGCUUAGAUUUGGUGGCUAUUCGGUGGCUAUGUAAAGUGUAAAAUAUUGACAACAACUUCAUUGUAUCAAAUUGCAACCAAAAGCAAAGUAAAGACAGAGAGGAAAUUAAAAGAAAACGAGAGAAAGAAAGAAAUGAAAAGGAAAAGAGGUAGAGAAAGAAAAAAAAAGUGAAGAGAAGAAAAAAAGAAAAAGAAGAAGAAAAGAGUAGCUGAGAAUCAACGAAAAGAAAAAAAAAUUAGAAAAUUACAAGAACUGAAAUUGAAUAAUUAGAAUUAUAUUUGUUGGACUAAUGGGUAACAAAUUUAUGAAAUUUAAGCAAUUAUGAUUUAGUUUACGUUAUACAUAUAAGUUUUUAUAUCAUUUCUAAUAAUUAACUUUUGAACCCUGAAUUUUAGGAGAAAUCCAAGAACUCAAGAACCCACGAGAGUCCUAACGAAUCUCGAAGUGAAAUAGGAUCAGCUAUUGGAUAUUAUUAUUACUAUUAUAUAUUUUGUGAAGAAUUUAUAUUUGACAGUAUGAUUUAGUACAUGUUAUGAUUAUAUAUACGACAUUAUAUGAUCAAUUGAGUCAUGAUAUGUGAUUUCCAAUCACCAUAUGUGUACCCUUCUUCAUAGGCUCUAUGCAUGCGUAUUGAAAGUUAGAUUACUCUGCCUAUGUGAUAUAAUUAAAUUCCUCCGCGUAUUGAGAAGCUUUUCCUCUACUUUGCUCACAUGAUGAUGAUCUCAACGAGUAUUAUAGUUGUUUUCUUCGAUGCUAGUUGGUGCAAGUGUCAUGUAUUUAUGUAUGAAUUUCAUAUUUUCCUACGUAUUAUAUUCAGUGUGGAGUUAUGUCAUAUGAUUAUGUAUAAACAUUAGUAUACUACUUUAUUUUUACAUAUAUAAUUAUGUCCACUCACUAAGUGGCAAUCUCACUAUUUCCCUAGUACCCUAUGUCUCCUAAGUUUCCAUAGGAUUCCAUGUAGUUAAGUUUUUAACAUGUGAGGUUAGGCUACGAGAUGCAUUGCUGCAUAACUUGCAUUAUGAGCACGUUUAUGUUUAUGUGUAUAUAUUUGAGGUGUAUAUUUGUACAACGACAUGUGACCUGUGCAAGUUUUAAAUAUAUUUUCAGAUAAGGCACAUAUGUUAUUUUAUGAUUAUGGUAGAGGCUCCAGACCAAUUUUAUAUAUUUAUGAAUAAGUUUAUGACAUUAUUUUUACAAAAAUUUAAAAUAUACUACUAAAAGGGUAGUUUUUCACUUUCCUUCCUAAUGUAGAGUAUAUUUGUAAUUUGAUGGGGAGGAUCAGUUUAUUAGUGAAAAUCUCCCCAUAGAAUUUCAAAAAAAGCAUUUUUUUUUAUGGAGAGGUUAUUUAAACCUUCUAAAUCAAUUAUUAAAUCCAUUUACUAAAUGAAUUCACUCUUGAAGUUCCAAAUUUUCUAUUAAUCAAUCUAAAUACUCAAUAAAACCUUACUAAACAAAAUUAUUAUUAAACUAGUUUUUUUUUUACUUAAGAGAUUCAUGAUUAAAAUCAUAUGCAUAUAAAACCUUUAAUCGAACAAAUAUUUCUCUCUUGUCUUAUACAAGCAAAAUUUUAACCUCUUAUUUUAUAUCAAAUUAACUCCACUUCAUUAUUUUCAAGCUCUCUUUUGUUUCCUUAUUCUUCUUUUUCCUUUUUUUUUUCCAACAUAAAUGUCAAACUUUGCCUUAAUUUUAACAAAUAUGAAACUAAAUAUGGUAAUAACAACAUACAAAAAAUUAUUAAAAGAAAAAGCAGCAACAAAUACUUCUUUUGUUUUCUAUUUUUAUAUGAAUCUUGACCAUCAAGGCAUAUGAAAAAGAGAGUUCCACUAACAGUAGAAUUCCAAGUAACAUGUGAUUAAAAUUUGAUGUGCUUAGAGGGAUUUAAUGUUGAAGAAAGUGUGCAGAGAAUAAAACUCUUAUUGUUUAAUUUCUUCUUGUAUGACAAUAAUAGUAAGUUGUGUGAUAGGUAUUUUAAUAAUAAAUAGAUUUAUCAAAAAGUGGGUUUCUUGAGUACUUUGAUAGGUUCAAAUAGUCCCUUUUUUCUGAAUUAUAAAUAUUUUCCAUGCUUGAGAUGUUGCCACUUCUUCUAUAGAAGAAACUUUGCUUAAUUAUCAUCAUGACCCGUAUUUUGAAGCAUUGAAAUCGCUUGAUCCAUCUGUUAUUAUUAAUUCAUUAUUACCAUGAUCAUUUUAUGUUGUUAGUUGACUUUUAACUCUUAAAAUUAAGGGUGAGUUUGGUAAUGCUUUAGAUUUUAAAAUAAUUAAUAUUAAUUGUGUUGUAGAAUGAUCAACUGUGAAGAGAAUCAGUUAAAUAUUUAGUAAAAUUUAUAUUUAAAAGUGCUAUGAAUUUUAAAAGUAGUCAUAUGUGUUUGGUAAAUCUUAUUGUUAAACUGUUGUACAAUAAUCGACUAUGAAGAGAAUGUUAAAUAUUUGGUAAAAUUUAUAUUUAAAAGUGAUGUAAAUUUUAAAAGUAGUCAUAUGUGUUCGGUAAAUCUUACUGUUAAAUUGUUGUAAGAAUAUAAUUGACUCAAAAUUGAACGUAAUAUUGAAUAUAAUUUAUUUAAACAUAUAUAUAAAACAUUUCUUUUAUUGUGUGCAUAUAAUAAUUAACAAUUAAAAUAAUUUUUUAUAUUAUUAAUUUUAUUUUUUAUUUAGUCAUCUCAAUAUAAUCAGUUAUAAUACUCUUUAAAAUCAAUCAUUUUAUUUUCUAAUUAAAAAGGAUAAUUUUGAAUUUUUAUAACAUAUAUGAGGAUAUUUAUGAAAUUGUAUUAAGUAUAAUAGUGAUUCCCAAAAUCAGAUUCUGAAAAGCUAAUCUUUUCCUACUUUUCAAAAAUCUGAUGUAGAAAGGAGAUGAUUUUGUUAAAAAUGAUUUCUAAAAGGAUUUACCAAAUGCCAAAUUAAAUUUUAAUUUUUCAAAAUCACUUUUAAACUUCUCAAAAGCAAAAUCCCAAACCGACCCUAUGUCAAUUAGAGUCUUUGUAUUGUACAAAUUUUUUCCUUAAAUUAUUAGCCAUUUUUUAUGCAUAAAAUUUUUUCGUUUGUAAUAUUUUAUUUAGUUUAAGUCACAAAUUGUCUCUUAAGUGUAACAUAGCUGGUGAUACAAUUAGCUAAGUUCGAGUAAUAAUAAAAGUAAUGGUUAAUGUUUACUGGUAAGAUUUCUCAUCGUCUUUAAAAGGGAAAAAAAAUUAUAAUAAAAGAUUAGAGAACAUGAUAUCAUCUCUGCUUUGACAAAAUAGUGAAGUGUAUGCCAAUGCCACAAGGAUUCAAUAAAUUAAUAAGUGGCCAGGCAUUAUCCUACUGUUUUAAGCUUUUUGUUUUUCUAAAUAGAAUGUAUCAUUGAUGAAGAAGAACAAUUGUUGUUUGUAUAAGCAUCAGUUUGCUGUCAAAUGUGAUUGAAAAUGUUGCUAAUCAUCAUUAAGAAGGCUCUCUGUGUAUAAGCACGCUUAUUUUAGUUUUUGUAACUGUAAAUGUAACAAGAAACGACUGACUUCCUUCCUUCCCCAAGUUUGUCUUAUGUUAAAAUGCAUCCGUUACUUUUCAUCUUUUUGCCUUUUUCUGCAAUUUUAUCCCUUGUAAUUAAAUUGAAACCGCAAAAUGACUUUCUUUUGUCCUUUUCAGUGGUUUCAAAAUUUGCAUACACUCAAUCUAAUGCAAACAGAAAAUAUUUACGACUCUAUGCCCUUGCAGGUCCUAGAGUUACUGUUCGUACAAGUCCUCGAUGGGCAGCCUGCGGUGCUAAUUCUGUGAGUUCAACCACCGCGCUGUUUGUUCGCCUCUGUAUUCCUGGAUGUGAACCUCAGAAUAAAGCUGCUUAUGAUAGGGGAAAGUAGUGAUUAGCUAGCACAUGGACGUUGCACGUUGCUUUCCUAAAUGCUCUAUUAAUACUCCUUACGCUUUAUUGAGCAGUGACCUUAUUACCACUAGAUGCGCAGGAGUAGGUUUGUGCAGUGCCACUUUGUCCACAAACGGAUAUUCUCUCUAAUAUAGUCAUAUAUGGCGUCCUAAAAACCAUAUAUAAAUAUCUCUCUUAUAUUAUAUAUGGUUUUUAGGACGCUAUAUAUGACUAUAUUUGAAAAAACAUUAUCCGCUCAUAUAUUAUAUAUGGGUUUUAGGUCAUGUACAAGAAUUUAUUCUCUUGGAUAUCUCUCGCUCAUAUAUUAUAUAUAUAUGGUUUUUUGGACACCUGAUAUGACUAUAUUUUAAAAAAGGGAAAUUAUCAUUACACUACUUUUAUUUUGCCUUAUGUUCAUCCAACCACUACAAAAUUUUAACAUGUAUUUUGUACCACUUUUUUUUUUUUUACAUUUUUAUCAACUAGCCACUUUUACAUUAACACUAUUAAAUAAUUUUAAUAAAAUGAUAAUUUUACCCCCAAAUAAAUUAAAAGACCAUUUUAUUUUAUAAAAACUUUAAAAAUUAAAAAAAUAUAAUGAUAAAAUAUCCCUAAAUUUAAUAAAAAUAAAUCCCAAAAUUAGAAUUUUUAUUUUUAAUAUAAAAUUAUAAUCAUAAAAAUAAUUACAAAAUUUUGGGAUUUAAUAAAAAUCCCAUAAAUUAUUAAAAUUUUAGUAUUUAUUCUUUUAAGAAAUAAAUUCAGUUAUUUUAAUUUUUUUUUACAAAAUUAUAUUUUUUUAAUAAAUAAAUUCAUUUAUUUAUAUUAAAAUUUUGUAAAAUUAUAAUUUUUUAAAAAAAUAAUUAUUAAAAUUUUGUAAAAUCUAAAUUUAGUAAAAAUCAGUUGAGCACCUCUAUUUGGGAUUUAUUUUUUAUUAAAUUUAGGGAUAUUUUUAUGAUUAUAAUUUUUAAUUUUAAAAGUUUUUAUAAGAUAAAAUAAUUUUUUAAUUUAUUUGGGGGUAAAAUUGUCAUUUUAUUAAAAUUAUUUAAUAGUGUUAAUGCAAAAGUGACUUGUUGAUACAAAUGUGAAAAAAAAAAGGUGGUGCAAAAUACAUGUUAAAAUUUUAUAGUGGUUGGAUAAACAUAAGGCUAAAUAAAAGUGGUGCAAUGAUAAUUUCCGUUUAAAAAAACAUUAUCCACUCAUAUAUUAUAUAUGGUUUUUAGGUCAUGUACGAGAAUUUAUUUCUUUGGAUAUCUAUUACUCAUAUAUGAUAUACACUUUUUAGGGCACUAGAUAUGACUACAUUAAAGAAAUAUAUAUAUGACUAUAUUGAAAAAAAAAAAAACAUUGUCCGCUCAUAUAUUAUAUGUAAUGCACCUGCACGUGACUUAAGAAGCUACCCAUGACUUAGUAGUUAAAAAGCAGUGAGCUGCUUGUUUUAUACUUUUAUUUAAGCAACACAUGCAUAAUUCAUCAUGUCACCUGCAUGCUUCAUCAAAUUCACAUGCUUGCUUCACCGAUUACACACCUGCCUGCUUCAUUCACUUGGCCACCCCCUGUUUACGUCCUCCUAGUUGCAUCAUUCUGGGUGGUACAUAAAGUCGAAAUAAAUUGGAAGCUGCUUCAUUUUUCUUAAUUUGGAGAAUCCAAAAUCGAGAGCAAACAAAAGGAAAAAGGAAGAGAAAUAGAAAAGCUAAGAAAGAAACUAAGAGAAAAAGCGAGAAGAGAAGAAAAUGGAAAGAAAAGAAAUAAAACAAAAUAAAAAUUGAAAACCGAGAGUGAGAAAGAAAUGGACAAGGAAAGCGAAAGUGGAAAAGUUAUAGGAAAUUAGAUUUAUAUCCAAUGAAUUAGUGGGUAAUAAAUUUAUGAAAUUUGAGUAAUUAUGUUACAGGUUUCAUUAUAUGCAUCAUCUAAUUGUUAAUUUUUGAAUCCAUAGGAGCCCUAAUGAAUCCCAGAGUGAAAAAAGAUCUAUGAGUGGAUACUAUUAUUACUAUUAUGUAUGUUGUAAAGCAUUUAUACUUGAUAGUAUGAUUUAGUAUUAUGUUAUGAUUAUAUGUAUGCACAUUAUAUCAUUGAUUGAGCCAUGAGAUAUGAUUGUGAGUCACCAUAUGUGUACCCUUCCCCAUAGACUCUGCGCAUGCAUAUUAAGAGUUAGAUUACUCUAUACGUAUGAUGUAGUUAAAUUUCGUUAGGUAUUGAGAGGUUUUUCCUCUGCUUUACCAGUGCGAUGAUGAUCCCAGCGAGUAUGAUAGUUAUUCCCCUAGUUACUCUUUGGUGCAGUUUGUCAAGUAUGUACAUAUGAUAUGUCAUGUUUGCUUAUGCAUUAUGUUCAAAGUGGAGGUAUGUCAUAUGAUUCUGUAUAAGCACUAAUACAUGCUUUACUUAUAUAUAUAUACAUAUAUACACUAAGACACAAGCUCACUAUUUUUCUAUUUACCCCAUUUCUCCCAAGUUUCACAGGAUUUUGUGUAGUUCAGUUUCUAAUCAUUUUGAGGUUGGGCCACGACACAUAUUGUUGCAUGACUUGCAUUUUGAGCACGUAUAUAUAUAGUGACAUAUGAAGUGUGCAAGUUCUUUUGGAUGGGCACAUAUGGUAUUAUAUGUUUAUAGUAGAGGCUCAAGGCCAGUUUUAUAUAUUCAUAAAUUAAGUUUAUGUUAUGAGUUUUAGAUGUUAGAUCACAUGAUUCGCCUCAGAUAUAACAGAUGGAUCCAGGAUGCUCAUGUCAUUAUAUAUGGUUUUUAGGUCAUUUACGAGCAUUUUUGUACUUGGAUAUCUGUCCCUCAUAUAUUAUAUAUGGUUUUUAAAACAGCAAGUAUGCCUAUAUUUGAAAAAAAAACAUUAUUCGCUCCUAUAUUAUAUAUGUAUUUUAGGUUGUGUACCAUAGUUUAUUUCCACGGAUAUCUCUCGCUCAUAUAUUAUAUACGGUUUUUAGGACACCAUAUAUGACUAUAUUUAAAAAAAAACUAUUAUCACUCAUAUUAUAUAUGUCUUUUAGGACGUGUACAAGAAUUUUUGUCCUUGGAUAGAUCUCACUUAUAUAUUAUAUAUGGUUUUUAGGACACUAGAUAUGACUAUAUUUGAAAAAUAAAAUAUUAUUCGCUCUUAUAUUAUAUAUGGAUUUUAGGUCGUAUAUGAGAAUUUUUGUCCUUAGAUAUUUCUCGCUUAUAUUUGAGAAAACAUUAUCCACCUGUAUACUAUAUAAGGAUUUUACAACAUCAGAUAUGACUAUAUUUAAAAAAAAAUAUUAUCUUUUUGUUCUUAUUAACUCACACAUAUAUUGAUGUACUUUUUUUUUUUUAAUUUAUGCACCUAAUAAAGUUUGAAUUCAAGAUCUGCGUUCUAAGAAAGCCGCUUCUUAUCUCUCAAUUUAGACUUUUUAUUAGUACUUUUUAGUAUUUUUACUAAAAAAAGUUAAUAAUUACAAUAUUACUUGAUAACAAAUCCAAUAUACUUUUUAUCAUUUAAGUAAGGUUUGAACUUCAAAUCUUUAGUGUUAUCCCAAAAAUUAACCCAAUAUGUUAAUUAGUCGUUAGUCAUUGAGCCUUUGGCUCGAUAGUAAUAAAUUUGUGCUCUCGAUUUCAAGGCACAAAUUUAAGUUCCAACGCCUGUGAGACUCAAAAUUUCCCUUCCAAUUACAUAAUUGGAUAUCUUUUCAAAAUUAGUGACUGAUAAAUAUAUUUAGACUAUGAGAUAGUAGAAUAAUAUAUCUAAGGAUAUCCCAGAUGAUUUAUGGAAAGGUUACGUGUCUCUAGAUUAUCAUUGAUUUGUAUAUUUAAAUAGUAGUAUAGUUUUGAUUGAUUUUUUUAAUCCCUCAUUUAUAAAUUGCAACCUAUAUCAAAAGCCCAUGUUUCUUCCACGUCCUUAUAACCACAGCAACCACAACAUGGAUACUAAUGGAGCUGAUACUGAAAUAUGCAAUACCCACUUGCCCGAAAAGCCUGAACUUUCACCAACUUUAAUUUCAGACACCGAACUCCUAUCUGAAUUCUCACACCAUGCCCAAAACAAAGCUAGAAUCAAUAAUGGAAGCUUCGGUUGUUGCCCCAAGAGUGUUUUGUCAGCACAGCAGAAGUGGCAACUUGAGUUCCUCAAACAACCUGAUGACUAUUACU